AUUGAACGCUGGCGGCAGGCCUAACACAUGCAAGUCGAACGAGUGGCGGACGGGUGAGUAAUGUCUGGGAAUCUAGCUUAUGGAGGGGGAUAACUACUGGAAACUGUAGCUAAUACCGCAUACCAUCGGAUGAGCCCAAGUGGGAUUAGGUAGUUGGUGGGGUAAAGGCUCACCUAGGCGACGAUCCCUAGCUGGUCUGAGAGGAUGACCAGCCACACGGGAACUGAGACACGGUCCAGACUCCUACGGGAGGCAGCAGUGGGGAAUAUUGCGCAAGGGGGGCAAGCCUGAUGCAGCCAUGCCGCGUGUAUGAAGAAGGCCUUCGGGUUGUAAAGUACUUUCAGCGGGGAGGCGUUACCCGCAGAAGAAGCACCGGCUAACUCCGUGCCAGCAGCCGCGGUAAUAC
rnacentral:rRNA from 1 species